CCGCAUCCAGAGCUAUCUCCCACGGUAUCUGCACGCUCGCCUUCCCGGGUGUCGCGUCGUACGACUGUAGCAUCGACAAAACACGUGCGUACGACAGACGUGACGGUAAAAUGUCGUGACACGGGGGACAUGUUACACAGAAGGCUCACGGUAACAGCUGCUGCUUUCCAAAGCCCCUGAAGGGCCCCCGAAUCCGCCAACUUGGCACCCUCACGCUCAAAGCAAGGUCCGGUUCAGGCUGCCGCUCUGCUAUGCUCCGCUAUGCUCAGGCGUGCUUACGGAUCAGACUUCUCAGGUAUGAUCCCAAACCCUCGAGCAGAACUUUAUUUGCUAGUUUCAUGUUCACGUAUUCCAUCCCUCAAUAGCGAGCCCCGCCAACGGACGUGAUCCCUCAUCGGGGCUCAGGCGCCCGUGUUUCCGUGUUUGAGUGAGGUCGAGUGAGGUCGAGUGAGGUCGGAUGCGCACUCACACCAGCAGAGGAAGGGUGGGAGCUGGGGUCAGUGUUCCCAGGGCACGCGGCUCACAAUACUGCUGUUUCGCCUCCAGCAAGUCCUUCUUCGUGCGCCCAAUUCCAGCAAUGGAUCGCAACGCACGUCCUAGGGAAGAAUAACCCCCCGAAGUGUGCAAUCUGCCGGUGCCCGGCUUUGGCUAAUGGACCCAACCGCCCACCUUUAGCCGCCUUUCGUGCGGCCAUGAUCCCGUACCUCCGACGCCACGACAGAUCUCGGACAAAUUCUUUCCCAGGCAGAAGUUUGUUCCGUAUUGCGCUUCGCGACCCUGAUUGACUCAAGAUUUACGCCGCACGGAAACGUGUUUUGCCAAGCUGUCCUUUUCUAAUGCGUUACUGUGUGGGCUUGAAAGCAGCGCUUGAU
rnacentral:lncRNA from 1 species